rnacentral:rRNA from 1 species
AUACGUAGGGUGCAAGCGUUGUCCGGAUUUAUUGGGCGUAAAGAGCUCGUAGGCGGUUAGUCACGUCGGAUGUGAAAACCCGGAGCUUAACUCCGGGCCUGCAUUCGAUACGGGCUGACUAGAGUGUUGUAGGGGAGACUGGAACUCCUGGUGUAGCGGUGAAAUGCGCAGAUAUCAGGAAGAACACCGGUGGCGAAGGCGGGUCUCUGGGCAACUACUGACGCUGAGGAGCGAAAGCGUGGGGAGCAAACAGAAUUAGAUACCCUGGUAGUCCACGCCGUAAACGGUGGGCGCUAGGUGUGGGGAACAUUCCACGUUCUCCGUGCCGCAGCUAACGCAUUAAGCGCCCCGCCUGGGGAGUACGGCCGCAAGGCUAAA